UACGUAGGGUGCAAGCGUUAAUCGGAAUUACUGGGCGUAAAGCGUGCGCAGGCGGCUUUGCAAGACAGAUGUGAAAUCCCCGGGCUUAACCUGGGAACUGCAUUUGUGACUGCAUGGCUGGAGUGCGGCAGAGGGGGAUGGAAUUCCGCGUGUAGCAGUGAAAUGCGUAGAUAUGCGGAGGAACACCGAUGGCGAAGGCAAUCCCCUGGGCCUGCACUGACGUCAUGCACGAAAGCGUGGGGAGCAAACAAGGAUU
rnacentral:rRNA from 1 species